GGGUUGUGAGGUUAAGCGACUAAGCGUACACGGUGGAUGCCCUGGCAGUCAGAGGCGAUGAAGGACGUGCUAAUCUGCGAAAAGCGUCGGUAAGGUGAUAUGAACCGUUAUAACCGGCGAUGUCCGAAUGGGGAAACCCAGUGCAAUUCGUUGCACUAUCGUUAACUGAAUACAUAGGUUAACGAGGCGAACCGGGGGAACUGAAACAUCUAAGUACCCCGAGGAAAAGAAAUCAACCGAGAUUCCCCCAGUAGCGGCGAGCGAACGGGGAGCAGCCCAGAGUCUGAAUCAGCUUGUGUGUUAGUGGAACGGUCUGGAAAGUCCGACGGUACAGGGUGAUAGUCCCGUACACCAAAAUGCACAGGCUGUGAACUCGAAGAGUAGGGCGGGACACGUGGUAUCCUGUCUGAAUAUGGGGGGACCAUCCUCCAAGGCUAAAUACUCCUGACUGACCGAUAGUGAACCAGUACCGUGAGGGAAAGGCGAAAAGAACCCCGGCGAGGGGAGUGAAAAAGAACCUGAAACCGUGUACGUACAAGCAGUGGGAGCACCUUCGGGUGUGACUGCGUACCUUUUGUAUAAUGGGUCAGCGACUUAUAUUCUGUAGCAAGGUUAACCGUAUAGGGGAGCCGCAGGGAAACCGAGUCUUAACUGGGCGUUAAGUUGCAGGGUAUAGACCCGAAACCCGGUGAUCUAGCCAUGGGCAGGUUGAAGGUUGGGUAACACUAACUGGAGGACCGAACCGACUAAUGUUGAAAAAUUAGCGGAUGACUUGUGGCUGGGGGUGAAAGGCCAAUCAAACCGGGAGAUAGCUGGUUCUCCCCGAAAGCUAUUUAGGUAGCGCCUCGUGAACUCAUCUUCGGGGGUAGAGCACUGUUUCGGCUAGGGGGUCAUCCCGACUUACCAACCCGAUGCAAACUACGAAUACCGAAGAAUGUUAUCACGGGAGACACACGGCGGGUGCUAACGUCCGUCGUGAAGAGGGAAACAACCCAGACCGCCAGCUAAGGUCCCAAAGUCACAGUUAAGUGGGAAACGAUGUGGGAAGGCACAGACAGCCAGGAUGUUGGCUUAGAAGCAGCCAUCAUUUAAAGAAAGCGUAAUAGCUCACUGGUCGAGUCGGCCUGCGCGGAAGAUGUAACGGGGCUAAACUGUGCACCGAAGCUGCGGCAGCGACACUAUGUGUUGUUGGGUAGGGGAGCGUUCUGUAAGCCUGCGAAGGUGGCCUGUGAGGGUUGCUGGAGGUAUCAGAAGUGCGAAUGCUGACAUAAGUAACGAUAAUGCGGGUGAAAAGCCCGCACGCCGGAAGACCAAGGGUUCCUGUCCAACGUUAAUCGGGGCAGGGUGAGUCGACCCCUAAGGCGAGGCCGAAAGGCGUAGUCGAUGGGAAACAGGUUAAUAUUCCUGUACUUGGUGUUACUGCGAAGGGGGGACGGAGAAGGCUAUGUUAGCCGGGCGACGGUUGUCCCGGUUUAAGCAUGUAGGCGGAGGUUCCAGGUAAAUCCGGUACCUUUUUAACGCUGAGGUGUGAUGACGAGGCACUACGGUGCUGAAGUAACAAAUGCCCUGCUUCCAGGAAAAGCCUCUAAGCAUCAGGUAACAUUGAAUCGUACCCCAAACCGACACAGGUGGUCAGGUAGAGAAUACCAAGGCGCUUGAGAGAACUCGGGUGAAGGAACUAGGCAAAAUGGUGCCGUAACUUCGGGAGAAGGCACGCUGAUAUGUAGGUGAAGCCCCUGCGGGUGGAGCUGAAAUCAGUCGAAGAUACCAGCUGGCUGCAACUGUUUAUUAAAAACACAGCACUGUGCAAACACGAAAGUGGACGUAUACGGUGUGACGCCUGCCCGGUGCCGGAAGGUUAAUUGAUGGGGUUAUCCGUAAGGAGAAGCUCUUGAUCGAAGCCCCGGUAAACGGCGGCCGUAACUAUAACGGUCCUAAGGUAGCGAAAUUCCUUGUCGGGUAAGUUCCGACCUGCACGAAUGGCGUAAUGAUGGCCAGGCUGUCUCCACCCGAGACUCAGUGAAAUUGAACUCGCUGUGAAGAUGCAGUGUACCCGCGGCAAGACGGAAAGACCCCGUGAACCUUUACUAUAGCUUGACACUGAACAUUGAGCCUUGAUGUGUAGGAUAGGUGGGAGGCUUUGAAGCGUGGACGCCAGUCUGCGUGGAGCCAACCUUGAAAUACCACCCUUUAAUGUUUGAUGUUCUAACGUUGGCCCCUGAUCGGGGUUGCGGACAGUGUCUGGUGGGUAGUUUGACUGGGGCGGUCUCCUCCCAAAGAGUAACGGAGGAGCACGAAGGUUAGCUAAUCCUGGUCGGACAUCAGGAGGUUAGUGCAAUGGCAUAAGCUAGCUUGACUGCGAGCGUGACGGCGCGAGCAGGUGCGAAAGCAGGUCAUAGUGAUCCGGUGGUUCUGAAUGGAAGGGCCAUCGCUCAACGGAUAAAAGGUACUCCGGGGAUAACAGGCUGAUACCGCCCAAGAGUUCAUAUCGACGGCGGUGUUUGGCACCUCGAUGUCGGCUCAUCACAUCCUGGGGCUGAAGUAGGUCCCAAGGGUAUGGCUGUUCGCCAUUUAAAGUGGUACGCGAGCUGGGUUUAGAACGUCGUGAGACAGUUCGGUCCCUAUCUGCCGUGGGCGCUGGAGAAUUGAGGGGGGCUGCUCCUAGUACGAGAGGACCGGAGUGGACGCAUCACUGGUGUUCGGGUUGUCAUGCCAAUGGCAUUGCCCGGUAGCUAAAUGCGGAAGAGAUAAGUGCUGAAAGCAUCUAAGCACGAAACUUGCCCCGAGAUGAGUUCUCCCUGAGACUUUAAGUCUCCUGAAGGAACGUUAAAGACGAUGACGUUGAUAGGUCGGGUGUGUAAGCGUAGCGAUACGUUGAGCUAACCGAUACUAAUGAACCGUGAGGCUUAACCUUACAACGCCGAAGCUGUU
rnacentral:rRNA from 1 species